rnacentral:lncRNA from 1 species
UGUAAGGUGAUCAGUUCUUUCUGUGGGGACUCAGCAUCUAUGAAGUGACCAGUGCUCUGUAAGGUAAUUAGUCCUCUGUGAGGUUACCAAUCUUCGGUGAAGUGACCAGGCCUCUGGGAGAUGACAGGCCUAUGUGAUGUAACCAGUCCACUGUGAGGAGACGAGUCCUCUGUGAGUCUCUUUGAAUUGACCAGUCCUCUAUAAGGUCUCUUUGAAUUGACCAGUCCUCUGAAACAUGUCUCUGUGAAUUGACCAGUCUUCUGUGAGAUAGCUAGGCCUCUGUGAGUUGACCAAUUCUCUGUGAUUCUGUGAGGUGUCCAGGCCUCUGUGAGAUGAUCAGUUCUCUGUGAAGUAACCAGUCCUCUCUGAGAUGACCAGUACUCUGUGAAGUAUUUAGUCCUCUGUGAGAUGACCCAGUCCUCUGUGAGUUGACCAGCCUUUUGUGAAGUGUCCAAGCCUCUGUGAGAUGAUCAGGACUAUUUGAAGGUAACUAGUCCUCUGUGAUGUGACCAGACUUCUGUGAGGUAAGCAGCCCUCUGUGAGAUAACCAGGCCUCUCUGAGGUGACCUGGCCUCUGUGAGGUGACUAGGCCUCUGUAAGGAGAUUAGGCCUCUCUGUCAGAUGAUCAGGCCUCUGUGAGGUGACCCAGUCCUCUUUGAGGUGUCCCGUCCUCUGUGAUGUGACCAGCCCUCUGUGAUGUGACCAGCCCUCUGUGUGUUGACCAGUCCUCGUAACCAGGCCUCUGUUAGAUAACCAGGACUCUGGGAGGUGACCAGGCCUCUGUUAGUUGAUCGGUCUUCUAUGAAGUAACCAGUCCUCUGUGAGAAACCCAGGGCUCUGUGAGGUAGCCAGGACUCUAUGAGGUGAUUGGGCCUCUGUGAGCUCAUCAGGUCUCUGUUAAUUGAAAAGUCCUCUGUGAGGUGACCAGGCCUCUGUUAGUUUACCAGUCAUCUAUGAAGUGACCAGUCUUCUGUGAGAAAACCAGUCCUCUGUGAGGUGACCCAGUCCUCUGUGACUUGACCAGGCCUAUGUGUGGUGAUCAGGCCUAUGUGUGGUGGUCAAUCCUUGGUGACAAUCCUCUAUGAGGUGACCAUUUCUCUGUGAGGUAACUAGGCCUCUGUGAAGUGACCAGGCCUCUGUGAGGUUACCAGGCCUGUGUGAGUUCAUCAGGUCUUUGUGAAUUGACCAGUCAUCUGUGAGGUAGCCAGGCCUCUGUGAGGCUACCAGUCUUCUCUGAGGUGACCUGUUCUCUGUGAGGCGUCCUGUCCUCUGUGAGGUGACCCAGCCCUUUAUGAGUUGGCCAGGCCUAUGCUUGGUGACCAGUCCUCUGUAAGGUUAGUAAGCCAGGGUGAGGCCACAGGGUCUCUUGGAGCUUCCUACUGUGUCUUUCCUUUUAGAUAGAGCAGGACAGAUCUGACAGCCUUAGGCUGGACCUGGGAGUGAGGCAGGAAGCUGCCUUUCUGGGUCGCAGGCUGUGGCCCUCUGGGAGAGCAGGUGGAGGCGUACCUUCUUUCCCAGCUGCCAUUCUGUUCCAUGGAUGAUGCUGGCAAGUCCCAAACCCUCUCCAGCUAUCAAGAUGAACACCUUGCAGAAGAAAGAAGUCUGCCGCAGAGAAAGACGACUGGACGGGGCAGCUGGGAAGGGUUCUUACCACCAAGCCUGAGGCCCAAGUUUGAUCCCUAAAGCUCACACAGCAAAAGGAGUGGAACGGCUCCUGAAAGCUACCCUCUGACCUCUAUCUUAUGUCUCCUUCACAAAGAAACAAAUCAAGAUAAAUAAAUAAAUGUAUGCAGUUUUAA